CCUACGGGAGGCAGCAGUGAGGAAUAUUGGUCAAUGGACGAGAGUCUGAACCAGCCAAGUAGCGUGAAGGAUGACUGCUCUAUGGGUUGUAAACUUCUUUUAUAUGGGAAUAAAACGUUCCACGUGUGGGAUUUUGUAUGUACCAUAUGAAUAAGGAUCGGCUAACUCCGUGCCAGCAGCCGCGGUAAUACGGAGGAUUCGAGCGUUAUCCGGAUUUAUUGGGUUUAAAGGGUGCGUAGGUGGAUUGUUAAGUCAGUUGUGAAAGUUUGCGGCUCAACCGUAAAAUUGCAGUUGAAACUGGCAGUCUUGAGUACAGUAGAGGUGGGCGGAAUUCGUGGUGUAGCGGUGAAAUGCUUAGAGAUCACGAAGAACUCCGAUUGCGAAGGCAGUUCACUGGACUGCAACUGACACUGAGGCUCGAAAGUGUGGGUAUCAAACAGGAUUAGAUACCCUGGUAGUC
rnacentral:rRNA from 1 species